rnacentral:tRNA from 1 species
UCCCUGGUGGUCCAGUAGCUAAGACUCUGCAGUCCCAAAGCAGAGGGCCCAGGUUUGAUCCCUGGUCAGAGAA